rnacentral:rRNA from 1 species
GAUGAACGCUAGCUACAGGCUUAACACAUGCAAGUCGAGGGGCAGCAUGGUCUUAGCUUGCUAAGGCCGAUGGCGACCGGCGCACGGGUGAGUAACACGUAUCCAACCUGCCGUCUACUCUUGGUCAGCCUUCUGAAAGGAAGAUUAAUACAAGAUGGCAUCAUGAGUCCGCAUGUUCACAUGAUUAAAGGUAUUCCGGUAGACGAUGGGGAUGCGUUCCAUUAGAUAGUAGGCGGGGUAACGGCCCACCUAGUCUUCGAUGGAUAGGGGUUCUGAGAGGAAGGUCCCCCACAUUGGAACUGAGACACGGUCCAAACUCCUACGGGAGGCAGCAGUGAGGAAUAUUGGUCAAUGGGCGAGAGCCUGAACCAGCCAAGUAGCGUGAAGGACGACUGCCCUAUGGGUUGUAAACUUCUUUUAUAAAGGAAUAAAGUCGGGUAUGGAUACCCGUUUGCAUGUACUUUAUGAAUAAGGAUCGGCUAACUCCGUG